GACUGCGUGAGGCAGUCACGUAGUUGGGGACUAGGUGAAACGGGUUCGUGAGACAAGGAUCGGUCGGUAGUCCUGCAGUUAGGUGGCUUCUCCCUGUCGAUGGGUAUUGUGGGUGCAUUGACUUAUCGACCAGGCUAGGAAGCAUGGUUCUGUCCUACGAUGGAUUGCGGUUACGUCUGUUGUUCCGGUAACGAGGCUCCCCCUUUGCCCGCCCACGCGUCCGCCGCCAACGGUUCCCUGUCCGUCUUUGUCGUUUGAACGCGUCUACCGACGUUCGAAUGCACGUCAUUACCUGUCAACGCCGGGAUACCGUCGAUGUCUCUGAUAAGGAGCAACGGGGACGGAGAAAACUGGAGAGAACCUUCUCGAGACGCGUCGAUCCGGUGAAUCCCACGUCGGACGACGGGAUGACGUCCUUCAAUUUACGACGUGCUCGUACAGUCCAUGAUCUUCGCUUCUUCGAGUCUCCUCUGUCUCACUGUGCUACAUUCGACGUGGGGCGACGCGGCUUUUAAGGCUUUCUCACUCGGGUUCGAAUGCACGUCAUUACCUGCCGUCAACGCUAGGAUAUGUUGGACAUAUCUAAGAGGGAGGAUGACGUAUGUGGAAAGGGUGAGCAAGGAGGACUCCAGAAGAUCCGCACUGACAGGAUUCUGUAAAUAAGACAGCACGCAAGAGAUAAUGGAUGCCAUCGGUACAUGAUGGAUGCAGAACUAUACGGUGUGAGAUGUUGCAACUCGAUGUCACAAGAUAUGGACGACGGUAAUUUUCUUGCCAGAUCGCACGCAAUAAACUUCCUAUUUCGUCGAAAAUGAUCGUGCAUUUGUUAAGCCGAUAAAAAUUUUUAAACGUAAUGAAUAGCGUGCUAGCCACGAGGUAUUUGUAUAAUUUUAUGAUGGGUACUUAGUUUGAUGUGAGCUAUGAUGAUAAAACUUCGUAUAGAAGAAUCCGCAGCAGAGUAUCGGAGAACAGUGAUAAAAGUAAGUUAAGUAGAUUUUGUUAACGACGAGGUUCAAGUACAAUAUUAUAUUUUCUAAAGAAACUUUACCGGUCAUCGAACUUUUGUUAACAACUUCGUCAAGGAGAAACGUUUAUUUUCACCAAUUACCUAGGCCAACGAAAGAGAGUCUAUAAUAAUCUUUGUCUCGAAUGUCACGUAUUACGGCCGAAUACAGAUAAUACAAUGAAAAAUUCGAAAAAAUACACGACAUACUUUCGACCAUCUCGAGGAAGGAAUUUGAUUCGAAGGUCAGAAGCAUUUCUCUUCCCGUAUUCGCCAUGAUGCUAGAUAAAAUAGAGAAUGCUGCUUAUUUUUCUUCAUUCUGUAAUCUUUUCCGCGACCUUACAGCCUCGCAGUCGACGAAUGGCAGACGCGCGCGAACCAAGGAUACCGCGAUUCUGUGAUCGGAAUCGGCAGGCGCCGAGAUGACGGUCGCGAAGAAAUUGCUGAGAAAAUAGAAAGAGAAGAACGGCGAUAUUGAUGGAGAGCAAGUCUCGAUGGUAGCAGUGGGAGGAUUGUAUUUUUACCUUGACGACAGCGGAAAAUGAGAAAUAGCGGAGGGCCAACAGAAGAACGCUCUACCAUUCCUAUGCAUACCUCUACUUUUACCACGCCGACUAUGCAACCAGAGUAUUCCUCGAUCGUGAAAAUAGACCAAUCUUAUCGUGUAUGAAAUGUUCGGAAUAAUCGGACUGUGGAUAUUCAUUCGUUCGUGAGGAUUUAAGACGUGUAACAAUGUAGAGAAUCUGUACGAUAUAUAGAAAUUUACAAAAUAUUUAAAGUUAAAUGUUUCAUAAAAAUGUGAAUAAAUAUCCGCAGUCUAGUGACAACGCCAUAGAUCGAACCGAUGCGACAGUACUUUCUCUGCGAGCAAAGGAAAGAAUUAAAUCAGUAUCCGUUAGAAUUUUUCGAGAGAGCGAAGGCAAUGGUGUUAAAGGACACCGUGCGACAAAAGAGCUGUUAGGCUGAUGGAUGUCAUUGGCAGUGGAAAUGGAACAGCGUUGUCAGACCGUGGAGAGUUCCUCUGGAUUAUGUUCGUCUUUGAGAACGUUUCUCAACCUGAUAGAGGAUGAACGGAUUUGAAGGAUACUUUAGAGAUAUUGAUUUGAUUAAAAACGUGUCUGGGUUCGUCAUUCUCGAGAUUAAGAAAAUAAGCAAGCAAUUUUUCUAACACAAAAUAUCAUAUUUUGGAAGUAGAAACUUCAGACAGCGUCGAUUUUAGACCAAUCAUUCAAAAACCAGAUGACUCACGCAACAGAAUAUCACGUAACGUGACUCACUGGGUGACCCACAUUGCAUUAGACACGUCGAACGACACGUAAUCAAUCACGUUCGGUAGAAAAGAAUCUGCCAUUCAAAAGAUUACGCAACUUCGUCCUACGCUGUCGCGUGACGCUUUGCUUUUUCCACCUAACGGCAAAAAAAUUAAGAAAAGAAGAUUCAAAAGCACAUUCUCGUUUCAGUAACGCGUCUUAUUGCAAUAACGCUUUGCUAUCUGGUUAAACGUUUGUUAGGUAAAUUAUGGAUUUUAUAUUUCACGUACGUAACUCGCUUGAUGGUGAUUAGCUCCGAGAAAUUAACUCUAAAAAUCGACAAAGAUAGCGAUGCUGGUUGACCGAUAAAAUCGCAGCCAAUUGAUGCAACACUAGCGUCAUACUUCUGGUAACAGCGCCGAACAAUAUUGUACAUCCACGUGGACAUUUUUAUAACGGAACGAUGUCUAGUCGCCGCUCCGUCUUCCUGAAAUAUCAUCGUCGUGAAAAGAAGAAGCCUUUGGAGCGUGCGAAAAGAGAUUGGUCCGGCUGUGGUGCUCCAACCACGUGUACGUGUGUUACGUGUAGGCGUGCAUCGAAUGCAAAUCGAUACGUGGAAGAGAAAGCGGAUCGAACGAAGAGAGCUCGUCGAGACGGACAGUGGAACGAGAUCGUAAUGGCGAAAGGAAAUGGUCCAAGCAGAUGCGAUGUUUGCCAGCCGCCCUUAGCUCGAUUCACGCCACUGCCCCUUUCACGGUGUUUCCAAGCCCGGGGGAUCAUUCGAUCGCCGACAGAGGCCAAAGCGUUCGGAAAAUCUAUCGUUGAUCGUUUUUGGACCCGGCCACCGCUCGAUUUCACAUCAAGGAAAUGAGUUUCCUCGCGCCCGAUCCGUGAGACCGUCGAUUUCUAGCGUUCGCCACCAUUUCACUCUUGCCGAACGGAAAAAUGGCGCGGAACAUUUUCGAUCUACGUUCUUACGAAUGUGUCUCUCCGCGUAUCUUGAACAAAUAUUGCUCGUCGUCACGAUUCCUUUCUAGCGUCCAUCGAAUCGUAUCUUUUUACUGCGAUUCUAAAUAUUAUUGACCAUGUUACAUUGAACGUUCUUUCGCUUAUCGUUGUGAGGGAAAAUUGCGGUUAGGUUGAUUGGAAACUGUGUAUAAAUGAGAUCGAAAAUGUUAUAAUACAGAACGGAGAAACUAGGCCUUUGAUUCGUUACAAAACACAUUUCUUUGAAAAUUAUUAACCGUACGGCGUUGUUUCAACAAGUUACUUUGAAAGCAGCCAAGCUUGAAAUUCUGAAUCCGCUGAGUUAGCUUUAACGCUAAACAGAAUCGUGAAAUAUCGUUCUCGUGUAAAGCGCAACAUAAUCAAUUGAUUAUCGCCAAAUAUUCAGGGUAUUUCGCGUAAUCUACAGUACACAGACUUUUAGUCGACGGGUUUUAUUUUCGCGUUACCUUAGCCGGUAACGUUAUUACGAUCGUCAAAGCGGUAUUAAAGGUUUUACGACGCGAGGCAGGAACAGGGGCAACUGUAGAGGAGAGAAAUUGAGAAAAAAGUAGGAAACCAUCGAAUCGAAUUGUUGGCAAGCUGCCAAUAUACCGAUAUUUCGAGUACGCACGCUGAUUGAAGCACGAGAGGCCGUUAUCAUACAUUAUGCGUGAAUUCUGAUUAAUACAUGCGCUGUUUGCCAUUCAAUCUACCGAAUUUAUCCAUUAGAGCGAAUAGAAUUUUUCGUGGAAUGACUCGUGCGUAUUUGCCAGAAUCUCCAUGAAGAAAAAAAGGAAACAUCGAUUGUAUCGUCGAUCGUGAAUAAAGCGAGGGCGUAAUAUUGUGUUAAUGAGAAGAAGGAUAAAAUAAAAUAAAAUAAAAUAAAAGAGGGCCGCAGGAUGAAAAAUACAAAGAACGAUCCUUGACAAGUUCGAAUGGAAAGAGAGAAAAUACAUUUUCAGGCACAAAGCGUGAAGGCUAGUUAAACAAACGCCAGGGAAAAUAACAGGUUGAAAUUUAUGUUCGAAAUAACCGAUCCUUUGGGAUUUAUUUAGCAGCGAAUUACAAAUUCGUAAUUAAAGGUUGUACGCUCGCAAGCAGGAAAAAUUUUAAUGGAAAUGCUUCUUAACAAAACGUUUACGCCACGCUUUUAUAGAUCAUACGGACUUAUAAUUGAAUAAAUCAAACGAAACGGUUGUUUUCUCAGAAACUUUCAAACGUUACUACAGAAUGUUGUUAUAACAAAAUUCUCCAAAAGAUGUAAUUUAAAUAAUUAAAUGAAAUAAUUCCAGAGAGACCAGGUUAAUUUCAAAUUAUUUUAGUAUAUGCUUUGUAUUUUCCAUUGAAAUUAACGUUAUUGAAUACAUUUUACAAUGUU